AGUCACUGACAUUAGAUACCCCUGUAGUCCAGGGUGUAAACGCUGCAGACUUGGUGUUGGAAGCCCUUUGGGGGCAUUCAGUGCCGGAGAGAAGUUGUUAAGUCUGCUACUUGGGGAGUACGUCCGCAAGGAUGAAACUUAAAGGAAUUGGCGGGGGAGCACCGCAACGGGAGGAGCGUGCGGUUUAAUUGGAUUCAACACCGUAAACUCACCAGGGAAGACUGUUACAUGAAGGCCGAGAUGAAGACUCUGCUAGAUUUUCAG
rnacentral:rRNA from 1 species